rnacentral:rRNA from 1 species
CUACAGAGGGUGCAAGCGUUAAUCGGAAUUACUGGGCGUAAAGCGCACGUAGGUGGUUCAUUAAGUCAGAUGUGAAAGCCCCGGGCUCAACCUGGGAACUGCAUUUGAAACUGGUGAGCUAGAGUAUGGUAGAGGUAAGUGGAAUUCCAGGUGUAGCGGUGAAAUGCGUAGAUAUCUGGAGGAACAUCAGUGGCGAAGGCGACUUACUGGACCAAUACUGACACUGAGGUGCGAAAGCGUGGGGAGCAAACAGGAUUAGAAACCCCAGUAGUCC